UGAUUAAUUAUUUCCAAUUAUGCAUGUAGGUGGUGCAAUAAAAGGGUGGGAGAGUGGGAGGGCAUAUAAGACAUUUCGAAACCUUUCGGUAAAAGUAGCACGAGCCAGGGUAACCGAUAGAUUUGAAAAUUAGACGAUUAUGAUUAUUAAAUUAUGAAAUUUAACGUUUUAUUAAUCUCCAAAUUUUCCAUUCAGAGGGUUUCUCUCUUCUUCUCGCCCAUUAUCCUUCUUCCGCCAUAAUCGCCCAAACAAAUGGAAUCAAAUUCGUCGCGCUCACUCCUUCCAACGACGCCGCUUCAGAUCUGAAUCGCAGCCGUUUCGGAGAUCCACUGUGCCGGCAUUCUCCGUUCAAUUCUCGCACCUUUCAUGCUCUUCCCCUCGUGCGCACAGAUCUUGAAAAUUGACGCCUCAACGACGUUCGCAGCGUCACGCGAGUGGCCAGAUGCCGCAGGGCAAUGCCGCCGCCGUCGCCGCUCUGUUAGACCACGGCAGCGAUGCUGGAGACGCCGUUAUGGCGCGGUGGCUCCAGUUCGCCGGCUUGCAGCAUCUCGCCUCGCCCCUAGCUUCUACCGCCAUCAAUCAUCGCCUCCUCCCCAACCUUCUCAUGCAGGUUAUAUUACUCUGUAUGAUUCUUCAGCUGUCCUGCAUUUUGAGGAAUGAUUAUGGUACGGUCUUAUUUUAGUUAGAAGCAUGCAUUGAGUGUGCAGUAUGGGUUGAAUUUGCUAAAUGAUGUUUGCUCUUAUUUAUGAUGGUAGUUCACGAGGUGACAAAGAUGAUUGUGAUGUUGUUGUAGGGUUAUGGAGCANAGUCUGCUGAGGAGAAGCAGAGGCUUUUGAAGUUGAUGAGAAACUUCAAUUUUAAUGGGGAGUCUGGUUCAGAGCCAUAUACGCCCACGGCCCAAUCUUUAGGUGGAGUAGCUGGGUCGGAUGGGUUUUAUUCUCCUUGUUCAGGGGCGAUUUUGGAUCCGGGCUUUUGGAUCUUCAUGGAUGAUACAGAGCUUUUGUCUGAGGUAUGCAUAUGAUUUGGUGUAUCAUAUAUAAUGGUCUGUUCAUUCAUGAAAGCCAAUUGACUUAGUUUGGUUCAAGUACUAUUACCACAGUUUAUUGGGAAAAGAUCUUCAACAUGUGAUUUUGACACGUUGUCAUAUUCUAUAAAAUAGAUCAUGGUACUUACGAGUUCGUUAUGAAAACUCUAGAAAGUUCUCAGACUAGAUUUAAAUCUUCAAAUACUUGUUCAAAUUUUUGCUGAUUUUUGAAACUAAUNUGUCCAUGACUUACAGUUUUCGAAACCAAAUUGGACGCUCUGUUUUAUGACAUACACUCCUUAUGGAAUGCUCCUUUAAUUAGGUUAUUUGAGUGCUAGUUUGAAUAGCCAGGCUAUCGGUGAUUAUAUACGAUGUCUUAGUUUUUUUUUUUCUAAUUUUUAUGUGAGAAUUUUAUAUAUUUUAUAUUUUAUUUGGUUGUGACGUGAAGAUAUUUUCAAGACACGAAAAAUAAAUCUUUAUUAUUAUGAUUCUUGUUUAGGACCUUUUCAAUACCUAAUUAUCAACUUGUCGCCAUAAAAGAUGAAAUAACCAAUAUAUCUCAAAUUUCAUUUCCAUCCUAAAAUAUUUAAAGUAAUAAUUUUAAAAUAUUAAAAUUAUUUAUCAUUUUAAAGAAGUUUUCUUUGAAAAGGGUUAAAGUAUAGUUUACAUUUAUUUAUAGGAGAAUAGUGUAUAUUUUGUCAUAAAGAUGGGAGAUUAUAAUUUACAUAAUUUGAUGUUCACUUUUUUGGUUAUGCGGGAUUUGUUUGCUUGGAUUUUGAAUGCAUAACGGAGCUGAAGGGAAUAAAUAAAAAUUGGACCAAAGCAUGAAAAUGAAGAUGAAAAGCCCAGUCAGUGUGGAAAACGAGAGAAGGCCCUAUGGUGGUUUGGUCCAAUUGCGAUUCAACAUUUCCCAAUCCGAAGAACUAACUGAGAAGUGAAGUGAAAAAGCAGAGAGGAGAAGAGAAGGGAAAGUCGCAUGGCAUCGACGGUGGCGUACCUUGCUCGACACGCGGCACAGAAGGAGAUGGUUCGGAUCCUAUACUACCGGGUCCUCAAAGACACUCUUAAUUGGGCCGUGCAUCGACACCUCUUCUACGACGAGGCUGCAAACCUCCGCGAUAGGUUCGACGAAAACAAACACUCAAGGAAAACAAACACGUGGUUCUUUUCCCCUUCUUCUCUCAAUGCCUCCCUUCCAUGAAUGCUAUAAUUUGUACUUCCCCUUACCGUUCAUUGGCUACAUUUUCUUUGUUUAUUGCUAGGAGCUGUGUAACACAAUUCUGAUCCGCACAUACCAUAAUUCCUUUCUAUUUGUUGUAUGGACUAUUAUAUUUUAAUUAGGAAUUUUUAUAACGGUUUAAUCGUUGCA